GUGGGUAUAGCUCAGUGGUAGAGUGCCUGCUUAGCAUGCAUGAUGUCCUGUGUUCAAUCCCAAGUACUUUCA
rnacentral:tRNA from 1 species